UACGUAGGUGGCAAGCGUUGUCCGGAAUUAUUGGGCGUAAAGCGCGCGCAGGCGGUUUCUUAAGUCUGAUGUGAAAGCCCCCGGCUCAACCGGGGAGGGUCAUUGGAAACUGGGAAACUUGAGUGCAGAAGAGGAAAGUGGAAUUCCAAGUGUAGCGGUGAAAUGCGUAGAGGUUUGGAGGAACACCAGUGGCGAAGGCGACUUUCUGGUCUGUAACUGACGCUGAGGCGCGAAAGCGUGGGGAGCAAACAGG
rnacentral:rRNA from 1 species